AAGAUGUAAUCCAACACUUUUGUAUCAAGCAAAAAUACAAAGUUCUCUCUUGCAUAAAUAAUUCUCCUACCCACUAAAUUUUUAUUCAAAUCUCUAAUAUUCCCACACACUUUUUCUAAACACAAAAGGUCUAUUUCCAACAAAAAUAAACUAACAAUGGUUAAUGGGGAUUAAUCAUUAUCAACGAACAUGUUAUGGGCUAUAGGGUAUGAGCUGCAUUGAGGUGUGAAUUGGGAAAUGCUUUCUCGAGCCAAGAGGCCUAAAUCUCCUAACCUCACAUCCGGAUUCACAUGCCCAAGCCAAAACCUCACACCGAAAUCUCAUGUUCAGACAAACACUAUCAGCUUGUACAAAAAAUCCUCUCACCAACCGUUAACACGAAAUCACAAAGGAAUUGUUCAAAGAAAUCACUUCAAGAUCUUGCUUCAAUCUCGCGUGAAGACCAGGAACAUCAACGAGCAAGCACGAAUCAGAUUUCUCCCUCCGAUUUGAAACCGGAAUUGAAACCGUUUGCGCACGGAAUGGAAAAAAUUGAAGGAAGCAGAACCUACCGGAUUCAACGGGGGCUAAGAGUGAGGCGUUUAGAUCCUCUUCUUCGUUUAUGCUUCAUUGUUGUUGUUCGUCAAUUAUGUCACGUUGUUGUGUGUGUUGCGAGUCGGUGUGGUGUGCGUAGUAUGUUGAGAAGAAGAGUGUUGCAUUGUUGAUGACGAAUGGUGAAAGGUUGCGGAUGGAAUUGUGCCCAGUGAAUCUUCGUUCUCCCUGAAUUGCAGUGAAUGGUUCUCUCUUUGCUAUUCUUCCGUUUCUGUUUCUGUUUUCUCGGUUAGCUUCCUUUUUUUUCUCUUCUUCAGUAUUCUGUUUCUGAAUUCUGCGGAGUUAUAUGGAUCUUGGUCAAGGGUUGCUACCUGAUGAUGGAGGGAUUGAAGGGUUGUUAGAAGAUGGUGAUUUCAGGUUCCGUUAGAAGGGGUUGUUGGAGUGUGUUUCCAUUCUGUUAGAAUUUUCUUUGAAGCUCUUUUUUGUUGUUGUCUUCUUCAGUUGCAGUGUGGUUAGAAGGGUUAUAUGGAUUGAGUAUGGUGAGGUUGAGGUCGAAGAAGAGGGUUGGUUAGUUGUUGUAGAAGUGGUUCUGUUAGAAGGAAGUUGUUGGAAGGGGUGAAGAAGUUUCUUGAGGAGGGUGAUGAAGGGUGAGGAAGAACUGUUUUUUAUGCAGUAGGUUGAAGGAUUGUGGUUAGAGUUGGAGAGGGAUUGGAGUCUGUUAUGAAAUGUGAUUCCGCUGGCCCCUUGGUUCUGUUAUGAGGUCUUGGUUUUUAAUGAAUUUUGUUACGAGAGGUUUUGGUUUCCAUUCUUGCAGGUCAUGGAUGGCCAUGAAAUUUUGUUAUGACGCUGAUUUUUGGUGCUUCUAUUUCUGCCGGUUAUGUUAAUUCUUUUAUAGGAAAUAUUAAGUAUCAUGUUCAUGCUUGUAAUAUGGAUGAUAUUUGGCCUAAGUUGAGGGUUAGAACCAAGACAUAUAAGUUGCAUAUCACUCUUGAUGACAUGGGAACAUGAUGAAGGCAACAUCACUCUUAAAGAUCCAAAUCAAAGUAGGAACUAGGUUUAGGGAUAGGUGGGUUGAGUGCACUUUGAUGUAAUCGAUUGGUUUGGAAAGAUGUAAUUUGAACCAUGGAAAUUGAACUUUGACUUUGGGAAAAUGUUGGUUUAAUGGUUCGUGAAGGAAUUUGGUUUAUGAA